rnacentral:misc_RNA from 1 species
ACGCCCUUCGAGCACGUUUUCGGUAUCCUCAGCCGGCGCCCACACAUGUGCAGCGAUACACCUCACCGCAUUCCUGUCGCACACGCCCCCCUCUCUCGUGUUUUUUUUUGCUUCGUUUUAUAUUUCUUUCUUUACUGUUCCUUUUCGUUUUUCGUGUUCUUGCAUGUGUGUAUGUGUGUAGAUGCGCCCUCUCCGUGUGUUGUCGAGCUUCUAUGUACCAUCUGGCCUACCUCCGCACACCUUCCUCCUCCCCCUUCACCACCACCUCCAUUGUCCCACAGCAUAACUCAUCUCAUUGUUUCGUUCCCCGCACACGACGUUUUUCGGUGACUCUUUUCCCCGGUCGGACUGUGUCGUUGCUGUGUUGUAUCACGUGUGUCUGUCAGAAGGGCCUCGCUGCGUUCACCUGUCCCUGUCGGCGUGUAAGAGGCGGUCUCGUGCGUCCCCUCCUUUGCGUCUCUCCGUAGACCUGCACUCCUGUGUGCCCUCCUCGGCCUUCUUCCCCUCCACACACACAACGGCACAGGCGCUUUUUCAUUUCGUUGCCAGUUUCUGAUUCUGCCAUUGCGUUCAGCUCACGACGUUGCUCUUCCUCCACCGAUGCCCGGCUCGACGCCGAGAGAGAGAGAGAGAGAUGCACACACGCCAACGGCUCGAACUCCACUGAUUUUGCCUGCCGUGCGUUGGAAUAACCCUCGCGCCUUCGACGUCAUUUUGAAGGUGCGCACAACGUCUUCACGGAGACGGUGCGAUGACACGUGGAGAGGGAGGCCUCGUCUGUGCAGAGACAACGCCAGCACGGCUUGCCCCCACCACCACCACCCACAUGCGCACACACCACACCACACGACCACCACCUGCCUUAUCCAUUUUCGGCGAAGAAGAGGGCCUGCGGAAGAGUCCGUGCUCGUACUUUCAACGAAGGCAGUAUCUUUUGUUGUUGUGUCGCGGGUGCUCGGCUGCGUUCGUGGCCGGCGUCCAAAGAAAGCGAAAUCGAAAGCAAGUAUGGAGGUGAAGCGUCGCCCGCACUCGAACAUGUUUUUUUUUGUUGUUGUUUUUUGUUCACUUCUGCGCUGUUGGGUGUUCGACUG